rnacentral:misc_RNA from 1 species
AACUGAAGAGGGGAAGGACUUGCAACUUCCUGGUUCAAGUUUAGAUGGCAAUGGCUUGCAGCUUCCUGAUGCAACUGAUGAGGCAAAUGACUCAAAGCUCUCUCAUUCAACUGAUGGCAGUGAUUCUUCAAAAGCUAAAGUAGCAAUGAAUGACGUUCCCGGGUCAUCUCUUGAAACUAUUGAGGAUGUUGCAAAGCAGGCUAAUAAAAGCGAUAGUGCAAAAUGAAGGCUUUAGCAUGUCAAUUCCUUCAGGUACUCGUACAAAUUUUGUGCUUAAGGACAGUGAUUAUUAUGAGAUUUCAACUUGUGAUAAUUUUAUGAGCUCUACUCUUGAUCAUUGCUACCUUGCAUUUCCUUCCAGGGUGCUUAAGAAAUAAAACUUUCAUUUUCAUGUCACAGGUACUGCAAGACUUAAAAUCUUAAAGGUUCUAAUGGUGGGAGAUAAUCAACAUAGGAAAAAGAAUUUUUAUGAUAUCGUAUUUGAGAUUUCAAUGUUAGUGUUGUGUGGCUUAUAGUUUACUUUAAUGUAGGGACAUUGGAUUUCAUGUUUCAUCUGAGACUAAAGGUUAUGAUCCAAAGAUGCUUACGUAGUAUUGACAUAUUAUCCAUUUACUAAUUUACUAAUUGCCUUUAUGCUUGAAAAUGUUCAAGUUGGUUGCAUGGAUAUGUAUAUAUUAUUGGUGUGAACUAGCUUUCAUAUGCACG